GACGAACGCUGGCGGCGUGCUUAACACAUGCCAGUCGAACGGAAAGGCCUUUUCGGAGGUACUCGAGUGGCGAACGGGUGAGUAACACGUGGGUGAUCUGCCCUGCACUCUGGGAUAAGCCUGGGAAACUGGGUCUAAUACCGGGUAGGACCGCACUUUAGUGUGUGUGGGGGAAAGUUUUUUCGGUGUAGGAUGAGCCCGCGGCCUAUCAGCUUGUUGGUGGGGUAAUGGCCUACCAAGGCGGCGACGGGUAGCCGGACUGAGAGGUUGGUCGGCCACAUUGGGACUGAGAUACGGCCCAGACUCCUACGGGAGGCAGCAGUGGGGAAUAUUGCACAAUGGGCGCAAGCCUGAUGCAGCGACGCCGCGUGGGGGAUGACGGCCUUCGGGUUGUAAACUCCUUUCGCCAGGGACGAAGCGUUUUGUGACGGUACCUGGAGAAGAAGCACCGGCUAACUACGUG
rnacentral:rRNA from 1 species